UCUGCCUGGUAGUGGGGGAUAACGUUCGGAAACGGACGCUAAUACCGCAUACGUCCUACGGGAGAAAGCAGGGGACCUUCGGGCCUUGCGCUAUCAGAUGAGCCUAGGUCGGAUUAGCUAGUUGGUGGGGUAAUGGCUCACCAAGGCGACGAUCCGUAACUGGUCUGAGAGGGUGAUCAGUCACACUGGAACUGAGACACGGUCCAGACUCCUACGGGAGGCAGCAGUGGGGAAUAUUGGACAAUGGGCGAAAGCCUGAUCCAGCCAUGCCGCGUGUGUGAAGAAGGUCUUCGGAUUGUAAAGCACUUUAAGUUGGGAGGAAGGGUUGUAGAUUAAUACUCUGCAAUUUUGACGUUACCGACAGAAUAAGCACCGGCUAACUCUGUGCCAGCAGCCGCGGUAAUACAGAGGGUGCAAGCGUUAAUCGGAAUUACUGGGCGUAAAGCGCGCGUAGGUGGUUUGUUAAGUUGGAUGUGAAAUCCCCGGGCUCAACCUGGGAACUGCAUUCAAAACUGACUGACUAGAGUAUGGUAGAGGGUGGUGGAAUUUCCUGUGUAGCGGUGAAAUGCGUAGAUAUAGGAAGGAACACCAGUGGCGA
rnacentral:rRNA from 1 species